UACAUGGGGUGCAAACGUUGCUCGGAAUUAUUGGGCGUAAAGCGCACGUAGGCGGUUCGUUAAGUCGGAUGUGAAAGCCCUCGGCUCAACUGAGGAAGUGCACCCGAAACUGGCGAGCUUGAGUACGAAAGAGGAUCGCGGAAUUCCCGGUGUAGAGGUGAAAUUCGUAGAUAUCGGGAGGAACACCGGUGGCGAAGGCGGCGAUCUGGGUAGAUACUGACGCUGAGGUGCGAAAGCGUGGGGAGCAAACAGGG
rnacentral:rRNA from 1 species